GGUUAAGCGACUAAGCGUACACGGUGGAUGCCCUGGCAGUCAGAGGCGAUGAAGGACGUGCUAAUCUGCGAAAAGCGUCGGUAAGGUGAUAUGAACCGUUAUAACCGGCGAUGUCCGAAUGGGGAAACCCAGUGUGAUUCGUCACACUAUCGUUAACUGAAUACAUAGGUUAACGAGGCGAACCGGGGGAACUGAAACAUCUAAGUACCCCGAGGAAAAGAAAUCAACCGAGAUUCCCCCAGUAGCGGCGAGCGAACGGGGAGCAGCCCAGAGUCUGAAUCAGCUUGUGUGUUAGUGGAACGGUCUGGAAAGUCCGACGGUACAGGGUGAUAGUCCCGUACACCAAAAUGCACAGGCUGUGAACUCGAAGAGUAGGGCGGGACACGUGGUAUCCUGUCUGAAUAUGGGGGGA
rnacentral:rRNA from 1 species